rnacentral:rRNA from 1 species
UGGGGAAUUUUGGACAAUGGGCGAAAGCCUGAUCCAGCAAUGCCGCGUGUGUGAAGAAGGCCUUCGGGUUGUAAAGCACUUUUGUCCGGAAAGAAAUCCUUGGCUCUAAUACAGUCGGGGGAUGACGGUACCGGAAGAAUAAGCACCGGCUAACUACGUGCCAGCAGCCGCGGUAAUACGUAGGGUGCAAGCGUUAAUCGGAAUUACUGGGCGUAAAGCGUGCGCAGGCGGUUUGCUAAGACCGAUGUGAAAUCCCCGGGCUCAACCUGGGAACUGCAUUGGUGACUGGCAGGCUAGAGUAUGGCAGAGGGGGGUAGAAUUCCACGUGUAGCAGUGAAAUGCGUAGAGAUGUGGAGGAAUACCGAUGGCGAAGGCAGCCCCCUGGGCCAAUACUGACGCUCAUGCACGAAAGCGUGGGGAGCAAACAGGAUUAGAUACCCUGGUAGUCCACGCCCUAAAACGAUGUCAACUAGUUGUUGGGGAUUCAUUUCCUUAGUAACGUAGCUAACGCGUGAAGUUGACCGCCUGGGGAGUACGUCGCAAGAUUAAAACUCAAAUGAAUUGACGGGGUCAUAGCUG